CUUGGUAGAAAGCCAGAAAGCAACCAGCUCUUUGAGGAAGAGCUUUUGCUUUACACACUGGUAAACUCACAGUUCUGUCAACGUCCGUGUAGCGGAAUUGUUUCCAGAAAAGAGCCUCCUGUUUCUCGACAGCUCAGACACGAUGACCAUCCUCCUCUCUAUAUUUGUGACGAUAUUCAUACUCAGAGGAACAAGAGCCCAGACAGUGACCCAGCCUGAGGACCACCUCUCUGUCUUCACAGGGGACCCGGUGCAGGUCAAGUGCAAUUAUUCAUAUUCUGGAAGUCCUGUGCUAUUCUGGUAUGUCCAGUACCCCAAACAAGGCCUCCAGUUACUCCUGAAACACAUCUCAGGCGGGAGUGUCAAAGGUUUCACGGCCAGUCUCAACCAGGGUGAGAUGUCUUUCCAUCUGAAGAAACCAUCAGCUCAAGAGGAAGACUCAGCCAUGUAUUACUGUGUUCUGGGUGACACAGUAACUGGUUUCAUAACAGAAGCAGAGCACAAACCCUUUAGGAGCUACAGAAAAUAUUUCUGUGUAAGUUCUCUAUAUCACCAUAGGGGGGCGUUCUUUCUCUGGACAUUGACAUUGAGUUUACCUCUUAGAUAUAAUAUCAUCAGUUGUCAGUUAGCUAUAGAUUAACCUCAAAAAUUUGUCCAAGGAAAUUCCAAUUACCUACUCUA